AAUGAACGCUGGCGGCAUGCCUAACACAUGCAAGUCGAGCGAGCCGAUCGGGACUUUUGGCGCCCGGCUGCGUAACGCGUGGGAACCUGCCCUCAGGUUCGGACUAACUCUCCGACUGGGGUGCCUACGCCGGACAAUAUCUUCUGACCAAAGAUAUAUCGCCCUUGUAUGGGCACGCGUUGGAUUAGCUUGUUCGUAGGCUAAUAGCCUAACACGGGGACGAUCCAUAGCUGGUCUGAGAGGAUGAUCAGCGACACUGGGACGGAGACACGGCCUGGACUCCUACGGGAGGCAGCAGUGGGGAAUAGUGGACAAUGGGGGGAGGGCUGAUCGAGCAAGGCCGCGUGAGUGAUGAAAGCCUUAGAGUUGUAAAGCGCAUGUAACCAGGAUGAUAAUGACAGUACCGGGUGAAUAAGCUCCGGCUAACUCCGUG
rnacentral:rRNA from 1 species